UAAGCACCUUUAAGACCAGACUGGAUGCAGUAUGAACGGGAGGGAUCAGGGUAGAGGAAGGACGGGGAUAUAAACCAACUAUGCAAGGCUUUGCUGCUCGCACAGAGACGGGCGUAACAGCAGGUAAGACCAGUCUGUAGAAACAGAGAUGAGGAGGGAGACAGGUCUAGCAGGUAGAGGAAGGUGGAAGAUGAGGAGGGAGACAGGUCUAGCAGGUAGAGGAAGGUGGAAGAUGAGGAGGGAGACAGGUCUAGCAGGUAGAGGAAGGUGGAAGAUGAGGAGGGAGACAGGUCUAUCAGGUAGAGGAAGGUGGAAGAUGAGGAGGGAGACAGGUCUAGCAGGUAGAGGAAGGUGGAAGAUGAGGAGGGAGACAGGUCUAUCAGGUAGAGGAAGGUGGAAGAUGAGGAGGGAGACAGGUCUAGCAGGUAGAGGAAGGUGGAAGAUGAGGGAGACAGGUCUAUCAGGUAGAGGAAGGUGGAAGAUGAGGAGGGAGACAGGUCUAGCAGGUAGAGGAAGGUGGAAGAUGAGGAGGGAGACAGGUCUAUCAGGUAGAGGAAGGUGGAAGAUGAGGAGGGAGACAGGUCUAGCAGGUAGAGGAAGGUGGAAGAUGAGGAGGGAGACAGGUCUAGCAGGUAGAGGAAGGUGGAAGAUGAGGAGGGAGACAGGUCUAGCAGG